rnacentral:rRNA from 1 species
GAUGAACGCUGGCGGCGUGCCUAAUACAUGCAAGUCGAGCGAACAGACGAGGAGCUUGCUCCUUUGACGUUAGCGGCGGACGGGUGAGUAACACGUAGAUAACCUACCUAUAAGACUGGGAUAACUUCGGGAAACCGGAGCUAAUACCGGAUAACAUGUUGAACCGCAUGGUUCAACAGUGAAAGACGGUCUUGCUGUCACUUAUAGAUGGAUCCGCGCCGCAUUAGCUAGUUGGUAAGGUAACGGCUUACCAAGGCAACGAUGCGUAGCCGACCUGAGAGGGUGAUCGGCCACACUGGAACUGAGACACGGUCCAGACUCCUACGGGAGGCAGCAGUAGGGAAUCUUCCGCAAUGGGCGAAAGCCUGACGGAGCAACGCCGCGUGAGUGAAGAAGGUCUUCGGAUCGUAAAACUCUGUUAUUAGGGAAGAACAAAUGUGUAAGUAACUAUGCACGUCUUGACGGUACCUAAUCAGAAAGCCACGGCUAACUACGUG